GGUAGGUUUGGGAAAACUCCUCUCUGUUGUUUGCGAAGUUUACAUAACGUGCGAACGUACCGAAGAAGAGGACCACUAACACAGAGGCAAGGGAUUCUUAUUGUCUCAGAUCUAUCUCAAUUUUCAAAGCGUGCAAACGAGACUUUCAACUUGAUUUGUACAUUUUUACCUUCGUGGCUAACUUGGCUUCAGUAAAAGAGGUUUUUAUUGGAGGGAUUCUACACAAUAAAACUGGUGUGAAGAAUUAAAUCCGCUCAUUCAGAAGCUGAUUCUUCUUGCUUGAACAUGAGUCCACAACACGUUGACAGAUGUCUUGCUGUGAAACAAGAAAAAAUGAGAGUCCCCCAUUGGCCAUGUCAAGAAACAGUGGCUGCUGCAGAAGUCAAUGAUAAAUCAAUUAGGAACUGGAUAAAUGAACAAUUGUAAUUUAUAUAGUCAAUCAAUUUUAUCUAUUUUAUUUGUUGUACCAAGAACAUGUUGUAUAUAUUUAUGUAUUGAAUGAAAAGAGAAUGCCCAACAUUUUACUUCUCAA